GCCAGUGUGUGAAUAUGAUGGAAAUGUGAUGUGAAAUCAGCCUGCAAAUUUGUAUAUACAAUGCAUAUUUUGCAUGUCAGUUAUUUUGUGCUUUAUGAUACAAGUUUGAGAUACGCGGCUAGGCCCCAAUUAUGUCACGUAAAAGCGCGACGUCGGACACGGGCCGCUCCGCGGCACCGACAGAUUCGAAAGCUGCUGGCAAGUCUAACAACCCUGCCCCAGGAACUAGCCAGGAACCAAAGCCUUCAACUAGCCAGAAGCAGAAUGACGACGCAUCCAAGAAACCUCGCGAGCUCAGCAACAGCAGCAAGGCACAUAAACACACGCAAUCUUCAUGUAAGAAAUAAUCUUCUUCCUGUAACGU